GCUCUCUGUUUUCUCUUUAAAUCAUAUAAAUCUUUCACAUUUUAUAAAGAUUUCCAUGGAGAGAAACAACUAUGAGUUUUAAAUAAUUUUUGAGGCUCUACAUGGUAGAGC